CUUACCAAGACUUUUCUGAUAUUCAUUCCGAUGCGUAAGGCUGAGGUCGGUUAUGAGCAAUCUUUGACAGCCAUGGAGCGUUCUGGAAUUGAUUAGAUGCCGACCUUUUUGCUUAUAUAGGUCGGACUGCAGGGCAAAACGAUGGUUGUUUUGCUGAUAUCACCUUGAUUGAUUUUGAGAGAACAUUAACAUUAAUGGUAGAUGAAUAUGCAAGUGUUGAACAGCUGGAUGUCGAGAAUGAAUUGGAUAUUCAAAUAAUCUCCAUACAGAUUCAUGAGGAGUUAGAUAACGACAAUUAAGAUAAGUUGCAAUUUCAUCAUUUCCAUUUUCAGAUAAUAGAAGUCGUGCUCGGUCUGGACCUUUAUUGAUAUAUUUAAACAAAUAUUUAAUUAGCAUAGAUUGAGAGCAUAAUUCAACAUUAAUAUGAGCAUUAUAUCUCAAUAAUAAAUUUGAAUUAUAAGGUACAACAAAAUUAUUUCCAACACGUACAUUAUUUUUUACUGUAAAUUUAGUACAAUCAUCACGACGUCUAUAUAUUGGGGAUCCAUUUGUUUCAAAUAUAGUAUUUGUAUUAUAUGGCUUCGGAAAAAAUUUUGAACAUUUUCCAUUUCUCAUGCAAGGAGAUUUUGAAUUUAUUUCUCCGCAAGGUCCGUGAAUCAUAAAUUCGCUAACCAUAUCAAAAAGCCUUGGAUUAACCUUUUUAUCUGGUAAUUCUGCUGAAAUAAUAAAGUCUAUAUCAACUGCUGUAUAACAUUUAUAAUCUUUUUGUAACCAAAAUAGCAUAUGAGCAUGAGGGAGUCCUCUCUUUUGAAAUUCUAUAGUAUGAACAUCUGCUUCAAUCUGUCCAAAAGGUUCUCCAGAUUUGAUGUAAUUGAUCAUAUUUUGUAAUUUUAUUCUAAAUAUUCUUGAAAUUAUAUCAGGUCUAUCUUCAGCUUUAUACUUUGGUAUCUUUUUAAGGUAUCUUUCUAUUUCAGGCCAUUUGACAUUGCAAGUAAAUGUUAUAAAUAAAUCAGGAUUACCAUAUUGUCUACAAAUUGCCAUAGCAUCUUGAUAAUUAUUAAUUAUAUGUCUAGGACUUCCAGUAUGAGAGCUUGGUAAAAUUAUUCUUUGUCCUAAAUCAUAACCUCUCUUAACUCCUUUUGAAGCUGCGGUAUAAAUAUCUUUAAAUAUUUCAGUUCGAAAUUUU